rnacentral:lncRNA from 1 species
GGUGAUGGGGAUCGUGCACCAUGCAAAACUCGAAAUUGGAACAUCUUCCAAGAACGGGAGUGAUGAAACGAGGUUGUUGCCCACUUCAUGAUUCAUAGAACAAUGUGGAUACAUGUGUUACAUUUUCAAGCAAUGAGACUUGGUUUACCGGACUAAAAAUAAAGAAUUGUAAUUAAUUAUUUUAUUGGGUAGAUACGCAUGAUAGAUGUGGCUGAGGGAAG